GCGGUCGCGUAGUUCGGUCAGCCGGAUCGUCUCGCGCGCGGCCAGUUCGUGGCCGGUCCAUACCGCGGCGUCGAUCGCUUCGUCGGUGACCACG
rnacentral:tRNA from 1 species